CUUGCCCGCUGGCGGCAGGCCUAACACAUGCAAGUCGAGCGGAGCGGCGGACGGGUGAGUAAUGCCUAGGAAUCUGCCUGGUAGUGGGGGAUAACGUCCGGAAACGGGCGCUAAUACCGCAUACUAUCAGAUGAGCCUAGGUCGGAUUAGCUAGUUGGUGGGGUAAAGGCCUCCCAAGGCGACGAUCCGUACCUGGUCUGAGAGGAUGAUCAGUCCCACUGGAACUGAGACACGGUCCAGACUCCUACGUGAGGCAGCAGUGGGGAAUAUGGGACAAUGGGCAAAAGCCUGUUCCAGCCAUGCCGCGUGUGUGAAGAAGGUCUUCGGAUUGUAAAGCACUUUAAGUUGGGAGGCGUUACCAACAGAAUAAGCACCGGCUAACUUCGUGCCAGCAGCCGCGGUAAUAC
rnacentral:rRNA from 1 species